CCUAGGAAUCUGCCUGGUAAUGGGGGAUAACGUCCGGAAACGGGCGCUAAUACCGCAUACGUCCUGAGGGAGAAAGUGGGGGAUCUUCGGACCUCACGCUAUCAGAUGAGCCUAGGUCGGAUUAGCUAGUUGGUGGGGUAAAGGCCUACCAAGGCGACGAUCCGUAACUGGUCUGAGAGGAUGAUCAGUCACACUGGAACUGAGACACGGUCCAGACUCCUACGGGAGGCAGCAGUGGGGAAUAUUGGACAAUGGGCGAAAGCCUGAUCCAGCCAUGCCGCGUGUGUGAAGAAGGUCUUCGGAUUGUAAAGCACUUUAAGUUGGGAGGAAGGGCAGU
rnacentral:rRNA from 1 species